UACGGAGGAUGUGAGCGUUAUCCGGAUUUAUUGGGUUUAAAGGGUGCGUAGGCGGAUCGUUAAGUCAGUGGUCAAAUUGAGGGGCUCAACCCCUUCCCGCCAUUGAAACUGGCGAUCUUGAGUGGAAGAGAAGUAUGCGGAAUGCGUGGUGUAGCGGUGAAAUGCAUAGAUAUCACGCAGAACCCCGAUUGCGAAGGCAGCAUGCCGGCUUCCUACUGACGCUGAAGCACGAAAGCGUGGGGAUCGAACAGG
rnacentral:rRNA from 1 species